UGGGGAAUUUUCCGCAAUGGGCGAAAGCCUGACGGAGGCAAUGCCGCGUGGAGGUGGAAGGCCUACGGGUCGUCAACUUCUUUUCUCGGAGAAGAAACAAUGACGGUAUCUGAGGAAUAAGCAUCGGCUAACUCUGUGCCAG
rnacentral:rRNA from 1 species